UCAGAAGAAGUACCUCCCAGAAGCUUCCAAGGGAUACUACUCGUGUGGUGAGCAUCCACGGGCCCCAGGAAGAUUCACCAAUCCCGGCAGUCAAUCCAGCCUUAACUCUUCUCUGUCCUCAUUCUACUUACAAGGACCUGGGUCUCUGCUCCGUAUCAGGAAUCCAGACAGGGGCAGGAGGUACGGCCCCCAGAAAUCGGGCUGUGCAUCGUACCCGGGCCGCGCGAUCUCAGCACAGACCUGCCCCCAACCUCUACGUCCACCCAGGGUGCGGGGUCUCAUCUAGACCGAGAAUCCUCGGAAAGGAAGUCCCCGCCCCGCCCCGCCUGAGGUCUUGACACUGGGGCCCCUGGGCAGUCUCCUCCGUCACUCGGGGACCUUCUCUCUGCAGCCCUGCAUCUCCUCUUGGCCAGCCUAGGAUCUCGGACCUCGGAUCCUCCAUCUCUUUGAAGGGCUGCUCUGUGGGGUCCUGAGCAGGAGCCCGCUAAGCCUUGGCGUUUGGGGGACCCGGUCGGGCAGGGCGGGGCCUGAGACUGUGCCCGGAGUUUCCACUGCCCACGCCGCGAGCAUAAGGUUCAGUGAUCUCAGUGUCCCGGCACACCGCAGGCCCGCCUGGCACUGGAUGGGGAGGAGGCAGGGGCCCCGCCGCCAUUGAGAAGAUGCGCAACGAAAGGAGCCGAGGAAACUGACUCCUUACUCGGGGAACCGAGGUGACCGUCCCGCGAUCAAACCGUUGCAGCUGCCGAGCCCACGGAAGGCUAGAACCCAUUCACGAAAAGAUGAAAGAUAUUAGAAAGAAAACUGAAAUAGUAAUAGCAGCGAGCGAGGCAGGGGAGGGGAGGAGAAGGGAGGUCCGUAAAUCAGACUUCCGUGCAGGGACUCCGAUUUUGCAAUAAGCACUUAAUUAAAAAUAAAAUAUAUUGAUGCAGGGAGGCAAGUCGCGUUCCUGUGAAGGUAAAAAUACAGUGGACUGACUCCCCCACACCCCACAUGCUCCACCUGCCUGCUGUAAUUACAGGGCUUCAGAGAGGAGGGAAAAAACACGACACAGAGAAAUCUGCUUGCAUAUUUUUCCCUCUAUUGUGCUCGGCUCAUUUGAAUUAUAAUGUGUUGCAGGCCAGAGUAGAAAAUUUUGUGCCUUGAAUAAUGAAUCCCCCUGGAGCACGCGGUACCUGUACUUCUUUUUAGUGUCCACCGAGAAUAACGUGUUCGACAUUCAAGUGACAACACAGAAAAGGAUUUCAAAGCCCCGGGGCUCCAGCACGCUGUACACCCCGACGGUUCUUCUGCCUGCCCCCUCUUUGCCUUCCAAAUGCGGCAAGCUCUUUCUUUACUUAGAAUGGGUUCUUCCUUUUACACUGAUCCUGGCUGCACCAUAGAAAUGCGGCUAAGACAGGGAGGCGCGCGUUUCUAGAAUCUGAACUGGUCCUGCUUUGCACAAUGCUCGGUGCUUGCUGUCUAUCCAGACCAUUCUAAACGAAAACAUUGCCAUCCCAAACCCAGGCAGGCUUUUUCGCUGUCAAAAUCUCUCGGCUGUGUUUAUGAGGGCUUUCUGUAGGAAAGGAUAGCAAGCAAUCAGGAAUUUACGAAAGCUGACAGGGCUUGAGUCACAGGCGGUGCCAGAGUCUUUAGCUACUUAGUCGAUGGUUCUGUGGAGAUACUUGUAAGGGGCACAUGCUGGAUGUGGGUGUUGGGGGACAUGGAAGUGUCGUUAAGAUGAGAAAAUGGAGGAUUUACAAGUAAUAAAAGCAAGUGGCCUCAAAGCAGAACUUUGCAGCAACGCUUUGUUAAGGCUUUUGUUGUCUUGGUUGAGCAUUCUUUCUGGUUUGAUAAAGUCUUUUUAAAAACAGGUCGCUUUCGGCUCAUAAGAUUAAAGUUUAGGCUAUAUCCUAUGAUAAACCCAUUUAUCAAAAAAAGAAAUGUAGUACUGAUGUAGAAGGAUUUCCAAUAUACAUUAGUAAGUAUAUGUAUGUAUAUGCAGUGUAUACAUGCACAUUAUAUAAUGUGGAUUUUUUUCUACACUUCAUUAUAUCUUAUAUUUGUACUUAAUUUUAUAUCUGUAUUUACUUUAUUAUAUUUAAACACACAUAUAUGUAUAUGCAUGUGUGUGUGUAUAUACACAUGGGUUCAAUGUCUAUGUUUAUGGGACCAUCUCUGUGUUGGUACUACCUUUCUGAAGGGGAUGGUUGUGGAUGGAGAAUUCCCCUUUUACAAAAAGCCAGUCUCGUUUUGUUUUUAAACAAUAUAAAUUGCUGGUUUUAAAAAAGUAAUGAGGUGGAAUCAUAAAUAUGGCAGCUGUCUCCUCCUCCGCAGCCAGAUGAAGACUUGGUGCUGAUGAGAGGUAUUGUGGUAGCUGCUGCUAUCCUUUUGAAUAGCUGCGUGUGGCCCUUGCUUCACCUUCAUCAGGACUGUUAAACGCUUCCCAAAGGAAGCCUGCCGUCCACUCUGACCGGGGUCGGGGGAUGGGGCACCAACAGUCAGGGAAAUGACUCAGAAAAGCCAUAGAGAGGGAACAGGAAAAAGCUACAAAGACUGGGUUAAUCGACAUCUUUGUAACAAAGGACACCUGACUACACUCAUUUACUUUCUGAGUUGGGGCACUUCCUUUGUGUCUGAGGACCACUUCAAGACUUGUUAGGUGUCUGCGUAUUAAUAUUCUCGGAGCUCUGAGGUCAAAAGCAGAGAACUCCAAAGACUGGGAAAGUCCUAAGCUCACCAGACCCUUUGAGCCUGGCUGAACCAUGGAGAACAGUUCUGUAGUCUGCUGGGACCCGUCCAGCAGACAGUGCCUUCCCUUCAUUCUCUGAGAUGUCCCAAGAGCUAGUCCUGCAAUCCUACUGUGCUCAGAUGCCCAGAGAGUGGCCCAAAGAGUCCAGAAUCCUCCAGUCUUGAUGAUACCGGGAAUGCCCAGAGAAGGAGCCAUUUCUGUGACUGAUUUCCACAAAGCAAACAAAACAAAGCAACAGAACGCCUCUCCCUCCUCUCCCAAAAUUGCCAUUAACUAAGCCAAGACCUUUUCUCCUCUUACAGCAGUUUUCUUCUCUACUUCUUGACUCUUUAUACCAGAUGAUUCUUGGAGACAGAGACUAAGCUGAGCACUGUAGGAAAUUAGUAGUGUGUUGGCCUGGCCUCUGUCAAACCAAGCCUUCCAGACUAGUGACCAACCAACGACAUCACGGCUGGAUGUUCUCCCAGGGAAGGGACAAAAAUCAUUCCCAGCUAAUAAGUAUUUAAUUUAAGACAAAAAUCUGAAACUUACGAGAGAUAUGAUAACUCUUUCCUGUGUUUUGAAAAACUAGUAAUAUAUGAAUAAUAUAUGUGGGGCAAUGAAUUUUGAGACAGCGUUUUUAUGUGUCGUCCUGGCUGUCCUGGAACUUGUUCUGUAGUCCAAGAUGACCUCAAACACAGAAAUCUGCCUGCCUCUGCCUUCUGAGUAUUGGGAUUAAAGGAGUGUACCACUGCACGGCUAUACGACAUCAAUAGUACUUUAAAAAUAAUUGCUAGACAAAUAAAAUGAGGAUGAGCAGUCAAAAGACAUGCCUUUAAUCCCAACACUUUCCUUCAGGCGGUACAGACAGGCAGACCUCUGAAUCCAAGGCCAGUCCAACCUACAUAUUGAGUUCCAGGAUAGUCAGAGCUAUAUAAUGAGACCCUGUCUCAAAAACAAACCAACAAGAAACAACAGUGAACCUGUGGGGGAAAACGAGGUGUCACAAAACACAAGGCACUGUGACUCUUAGAGCUGGUCAGGUUGUAAUGACAUUAAGAUGCCCUGUCAAGUACUUUCCUUUUCCCUACUUAUCUGUCCAAAUCUACUCUUCCUGCUCUGUCUCCACAUCUGAAUCCUCAUGUGGGAUCAGCAUGUGUGUGACCACACACACACACACACACACACACACACACACUCCACACCCCUCUAAUGGGCAGAAUUGGACACUGGGAUAUAGGAGCAGAGCCAAGCUGAAUACUCUGCUCUCCCUUGCCCCUUGGCCAUAUCGUGAUGAGUCAGCUGAUUGCUUCUCUCCUCCACAGACUGUUGCUAUGGGGUGCACUACUAGGCUGUCUCUCCAACAUGAACAUCUGCUUCAUGUCCUUGACCCUUCAGACCUACUUGUUCUAGGAUACUGUACUGUCCCUCGCCCAUAUCUCCGUUUUAUUCACAUUCCCUUCCCUUCCUCUUUUUCUCUUUGUUAAUUUCUGGUUUGUCGUUGUCGUCGUUCUGGGAUGUUGCUGGUGUUGGCGUUUUGCAAUGCUUGGUAUCAAUCCUAGAACCUAUGCUGGCUAGGCAGGUGCUCUACCACUGAGGUAUACUCCUGGCACUUGAUUUUUUUAAGACAGGAUCUCUUGCAAUAAAACUCAGGCUGGUUUUGAA